UAGGGAAUCUUCCGCAAUGGGCGAAAGCCUGACGGAGCAACGCCGCGUGAGUGAUGAAGGUCUUCGGAUCGUAAAACUCUGUUAUUAGGGAAGAACAUAUGUGUAAGUAACUGUGCACAUCUUGACGGUACCUAAUCAGAAAGCCACGGCUAACUACGUGCCAGCAGCCGCGGUAAUACGUAGGUGGCAAGCGUUAUCCGGAAUUAUUGGGCGUAAAGCGCGCGUAGGCGGUUUUUUAAGUCUGAUGUGAAAGCCCACGGCUCAACCGUGGAGGGUCAUUGGAAACUGGAAAACUUGAGUGCAGAAGAGGAAAGUGGAAUUCCAUGUGUAGCGGUGAAAUGCGCAGAGAUAUGGAGGAACACCAGUGGCGAAGGCGACUUUCUGGUCUGUAACUGACGCUGAUGUGCGAAAGCGUGGGGAUCAAACA
rnacentral:rRNA from 1 species